GGGAAGUUAAACUAACCGAAUACCGCCGUUAGUUAGGGAAAGAUUUAUCGGCGAAGGAUCGGCCCGCGUUGGAUUAGCUAGUUGGCGGUGUAAUGGACCACCAAGGCUACGAUCCAUAGCUGGUCUGAGAGGACGACCAGCCACACUGGGACUGAGACACGGCCCAGACUCCUACGGGAGGCAGCAGUGGGGAAUCUUGGACAAUGGGCGCAAGCCUGAUCCAGCCAUGCCGCGUGAGUGAAGAAGGCCUUAGGGUUGUAAAACUCUUUCGCCGGUGAAGAUAAUGACGGUAACCGGAGAAGAAGCCCCGGCUAACUUCGUG
rnacentral:rRNA from 1 species